rnacentral:rRNA from 1 species
CCUACGGGUGGCAGCAGUGAGGAAUAUUGGUCAAUGGGCUUACGCCUGAACCAGCCAAGUCGCGUGAGGGAAGACUGCCCUAUGGGUUGUAAACCUCUUUUGUCAGGGAGCAAUUGGCGCUACGUGUAGCGUUAUCGAGAGUACCUGAAGAAAAAGCAUCGGCUAACUCCGUGCCAGCAGCCGCGGUAAUACGGAGGAUGCGAGCGUUAUCCGGAUUUAUUGGGUUUAAAGGGUGCGUAGGCGGAAUGCCAAGUCAGUGGUAAAAUCGUGGGGCUCAACCCCAUCCAGCCGUUGAAACUGGGGAUCUAGAGUGUGCGAGAGGUAUGCGGAAUGCGUGGUGUAGCGGUGAAAUGCAUAGAUAUCACGCAGAACCCCGAUUGCGAAGGCAGCAUACCGGUGCACAACUGACGCUCAGGCACGAAAGCGUGGGUAUCGAACAGGAUUAGAUACCCUUGUAGUC